AGAGAGCGAGGGCUUGAAAUAGCACUCAAAAAAGACACAGCGCAGCAAACACAGGAGAGGGACGCACAGUUGAAGUGCGUUUUUGUGAAAUGAUUUCAUGUUAUUGACAGCCGGACUUGAUUUUGUUUAUUCUUAUCCCUCUCUGUGGUGGAAUAGUUAAAGUCUGAUUGGGAAAUGUCCUGUAACGUGGAUUGAAAAUGUAAAAUCAAGGCAGCACAGCUCUGACAGAAACUUCAAGGAGGCUCAGCCUUUCUCUAAAAGAAAGAAGCGAUGCACGAGAUGAGCGUAAUGCAAGGUUAAACCUAAAGGAGACCUCAUGUCUAACUGUACAAGGCCGCAGAGAGAGUUCAGAAGCAAAACUAACUUCAGUGUGGCUGACAUUGUGCCGUCGCAUCCAGUAGACCUUCCGCCAUGGCCGCCAUGAUGAACUCCACUUGAACUCGCUUGUAUCUGUGGGAGCUGAGCAGAUCAGGUCAUGUGAUUGGACGAGGCCAGCGCUCCAUAUUUGGGAGAUUACUGAAGCCAGGUUUUGGGCUGCCAUUGCUGCCCCCGACGUGUCAGAAUAACGUAAUCGCUCCACAGGCUUUUUAAUUAUCUUAUAAUAUCUGAUGUCUCGCUGCCAGGAUGUGGGGGAUAAAAGGCCCAAAAACAGGAGGCUCCGAGGUGGACUUAUCUUUGUGUUUGUUUUGUUCUUUACUGUGAAUUAUGUUUAAUUAUUGUGAGACAGGCUGAAAGUCUAGCCUGGGUAAAUAAAUUAGAUAUGGAAUACAUUAAAAUGAUCACCAUUGUAUAAAAGGUUAUUCUCCUGCAUCAUAGUCAACCAUAAUAUAGACUGACUGGCUCAAUUGAAAAAAAAAAGUAUGUUGUGUAAAUAUGUACAACAUACAAUACUUUUUUUUUAACUCAUAUUUAAUACUUAAAUGUAUUCCAACUGUUUAUCAUUCACAAAUACACUUGUAAUAAAAGAAAACGAAUUGUUUAUUAUGAGAGAAAAAUGACCCAACCUAUUUCAAAAGUUAGUAAAGUAACAAUUCAUGGAUAAGGUCUGUUUUAAUUGUAUGCAUGUAUGCAAUACAAAUGAAUACUAUAGCACUGAUCCCUGUCUAAAUAAUAAAUUCAAAUCAAAUAUAACAUGGGGACCUAAUUCUUAUUACCCUCAUUCCUUCUUGUUACAUAGAUAUUUUUAUCUUUUUGUGUGUGUGUGUGUGUGUGUGUGUGUGUG